ACUCUCUGUCCUCAGUUGAAACUUCCACAGCUCAGGAGGGACAGCAAGCUUGAACGUGCCAGCAGGACAGUAAACAGGAAAUAACAGGAUUCGUAGCAGCACAGGAAAAUAAGCAAAAUAAAAUGAAAAGUUCGUGUCAUUCUAAGAGCAACAAGAAGCACUAGACAGUGCCUGCUGUAAACUCAGCAUUCAUCCUGGCACCAGGAAGAAACUGCAAAAUCAUUUCUCUGAAAUUUUAAUGAACUCCGACGAGAAUGCUGCUGGUUAAUGGACUUUAUGCAAUGAGCGGAAACUCAUCCAUUCACAAUCCAACUUUUCAUGAGGUUGGCUUGGUUUGCUAAUAUUCAUUAUCACUUUACAUCUACCUCUUUUGAAUGCUGGUGUGGAUGCAGCUGAUCUCAAAAAUCUAACCUUGUGCUUGACUUUGUUCCAAGCCAGGAUGAGAAGUGCGUGGAGCACCAGAGGGAUCUCGGUGGUGAGUCUGCAGUCAUGGUGAUGUAAUGGUAUGGGGAAACCUGCCGUACAAUUAGCUUUAGAUGGGCAAGCCUAAAAGUUCUCACCUCCAAGUGUUAAGAAUUAUAUCCUUCCUAUCACUCUUGUUACCCACACAAACCCAAAUUAAUAAUUUCUGUCUUCUGAAUAUUUUGAUGGAAAACAGGAAAGGAAAGUAGUGUUUUAAUUUGUUGCUGAUCCAAUUUUGGUCCUUUAUUGAUUCUCAGGGUACCUUUAUUUUGACUUGAUGCUUUUGGACCAACUUUUAGUGUCAGCAUCAUGUACAGAGAUAUCUGCAAUUCUAGUGUUGGACUGGACCAGAGCAGGCUUUCAGCUAAUGUAGAUGUAUGUGAUAUGAGUUACUAGAUACCUCCUGCAAUCAUCAAAAUGUGCAUGUUUAAUAGCUGGUUCUGAGCAUUAGUAUUCAUUUCUUGAAAUCAGGGCCUACUGUUAAAGAAAGGUACUGAAUUCCUGAGCAAAAUUUGUGAGAGAGAGUGGACAGUGGGCACGUUGCUACCAUAAAUACAUGAUCAGAGCUAGAGGAAUUUAGUGCCACAAGACAUCAAAACAUGAAACUAGCACUUAAACAAAGGUGUAUCAGGAGUAGCAGAGGGAUGCACACCAAUCCAAAUGAAGAAAUGCAGUAUGGAAGAGCGAGGAGGGAACUCACAGGUGCAGGAAGUUAGCAAUUCAUCUGGGUGAGACUCUAAGCAAACAAACUGAAAAGUUCAUUUGUGUUCCUAAAGGAUUACCUGAUAUAAUCUAAAGCACAAAAUAAUUCAUUUCAAAAAGAGAUCAGUUGUCAGCUCAAGGCACUCUUCUGUCAAGAGUUCCAAAAGCAGGUUUCUGUCUUGCCAUACUUUACUUUUUGAGGGCCCCAGUACAGCAAAUUACUUAGGCAAGAGUUUUAUUUAGCAUCUGACUUAAAGGAAUAUAAGAAUGUCUUUAAAUAGUUUGCUUAAUCUGUGCUCUUCAAGAAAGGAAGGAGUUGAGAAGAAAGUUUUCUUCAAAUUUCUUGGCAGAACAAUAAUGUAAAGCAUUCUGUGUACAUGUAUUUCCUGGUUUCUCUGAAAAGUCCCACCCCUAGAGCAACAGAUAUAUAUUAUAUGUAUAUAUAAAUUACAUAUAUAUGUAUUUGUUGUAUGUAUUCUUAUUAUGUGCAUAUAUACAGAAAUUGCAGAUAAGUACAGACUCCUAGUGCCCUGGGAGCAAAGAAAAGCAUUUUAUUUAGACAAAGUACUAAGAAUGUUGAUAUGUCAAUGGCAGGAUCUCAACAUCAGUUUCUCCCAAAAUGGAUUGCAUUCAACUCCUUCAAAAAAUCAGGGGAACCUUGUAGGCACUGAUUUAAAUACUAAUACUCAGAUUAUGGGAUUAAACAUUCAUAUUUUGAUGAUUUCAAGAUGUAGUUAGUAACUCAUACAAAUCUACAUUCCUUCAAACCCAUCUCUGCUGUUGGGUACAAUGAGCCAAUAUAGCACAGCCAGUAUUCCAGUGAAAUGAGUUACUGGGAAGCUCAAACAUGUUUCCUGUGGGUUUUGUGAUUGCUCUCUCAACUGAGGUGACCUUCCUCUGGUACAUGUGUUCCAGCUGUAUCACAGAUGCCAUUGUAGAGGGGGGGAUAAAAUCUGGACUCUUGCCUUUUUCUUUUUUCCAUCUUUCUAAAAAUACCGUUCUAUUAAUAGCAUAGCAUUUUCCCAGGCUGCCAGUCUGUUGAGAUGAAAAAGGGAGCUCAUUAAGCUACUUUGGUGAUAAAAUAGACAGUUCUGAUAAAUGCACCAAAACUGACCAUCCUUUUGGUCUAAUCAGUAACAUUCUUGCACGACUGCUCAGGACGUCAUGUCUUUGGCAUGAUUCCACUUCCUUUUUUUCGGUUGUUUGAUCCCCUGAUGCCAAAUACUGUAGGCUGCUGGCAUGUUAGACACUGCAGCAUGUGAUUUCAUCAGUGAUUUGUUGCCAUAAGACUCAUCAUCUGAGCCCUAAGAGCUGAGAUUGCUUUAACCUGCUCUUUCCACAACCUUGCGUGCCUGCUUGUUCUGUCCUGUCACAGGGGUGUUGUAUCUCCAGCCCUGGACUUUUCCUGCUGGAAUGACUUGGUACUUUGGAAAGGAGCCCCUCUGUUCAAGGUUUAAAAUGCUUCUUUAGACAAUGGUAAAGAAGUGGCUAAUUGCCAGAAAUCAGCUACAUUAGAGCUGUCAAAAGGAGGGGCUGAGGAGGGUUGGUGCAAAUGGAUGAAAUAUGCAGGAAAAGAAAUAGGAACAAGGAGGAGACAAAUGAUAACAAGAGGAAAGACAAGUGGGAAAAGAACAACAGAAGAAAGAAAAGUUCAAACGGCAGUUAAAAAUUUAGGCUUUGAUAAAGAAAGAUUUGAUGAAUGAAAAAGAUGAGGUAAGAGAGGAAGAUAGAUAAGUGCUAAAUGAGGAAAAGCAAGAGAGAAAACAGUUCUGGGGAAUACAUGAAAAUACAUGAUGGUCACCUGUGAUAUUCACAUGCUUUUUCUCACUAAAAAAGAAUGGAAGAAGAGAUGAUUGAAGACAUCAACAAUAUAGACUAAUUUAUCUCUUAAAUAAUGUUUCCUGGUAUUUGGGAUCCAAAGUUUUUUGUUUUUUUUUUUUUUACCAUCCUGGAACAGGAAUUUGAUUGCAAUUCUUUUACUGUCCGGACUGUGUGAGUACUUCUGUACCACCCAGUCAAUGCUACAUCACAUCAAGAUACUGGAAUAAGCUCUGCAUGAGGCAGGAUUUGCAUGGGAAGCAGCACAGCCCUGGAACGUAGCAUUGCACCCAAGCUAAGAUACCCCUUGUUUCAGUAGGGUGCUUUGCCUCUGGGGGACACCAAACAAGCAGAAACACAGUGUUUGUAGGUCCCUUCUUCCGACAUCUUUUUGUGUUAGCACAGUGUGAAGUAAAGGUGUAACUCCAGCUUUUUCUGUUGCCACUGUUUCACUUCCCAGAAAUACUUUAGUGCUCACGAAGAUACAGAGCAUGUGGGAACUACUGUUUAGAUUUUGAGCCAGUGAGUCCAUGCAUACCGGUAACAAUCACAAACACAACAGCCUUUUCUGUAUAAAAUAAAAGUGUGCUUAUCCAAAUCAGUUUACAGGAUUGGAAACUUAAAAAAAAAAUUCACAGUUUCCAUUUUGUGGAACCAUUUUGAACAACUUCUAAUUCACAUGACAAGGAUUUUAGGACUUUAACAUUUUCAUCAUUAAACAACAUUUUAUUUCAGAUUAAAAUAAAAUAUUCUUUCUAAAUGCAUGACAAUAAAACCUGAUGUCUUAGCUCCCCAUACUUGUUCCUCUGAGAAAAUAAAGUGUCAAAUACCCUAAAUUCCACACUCUGGAGCAAUUUAGAUCUCCUUAGAGAUCACAGUUUGAACUACAAAUGCAAUAAGGGCUGCAUCCUGCUGUAGCUGAAAUCCUUCCUAAGUCUACUUCUGCUUUUCAAUCUCUCUAAUUUUUCAUUAGAUCAAGAGUCACACAUUUUUGUUGGCAGUAAAGCAAUUCCAAUUUGAACUGCCUUCUGUCUUCAAUAGGAAUUUUCCCAAAGUACAGAAAUAAAAAUGUAAAACUUU